UCCGUAGGUGAACCUGCGGAAGGAUCAUUACAGAGUUCAUGCCCUUCGGGGUAGAUCUCCCACCCUUGUGUAUCAUUAUAGAAUGUUGCUUUGGCGGGCCGCGCCUAGUGUGCCUGGAUUCGCGUUCAGCGUGCCCGCCAGAGGACCCCUAAACUCUGAAUGUUAGUGUCGUCUGAGUACUAUUAAAUAGUUAAAAACUUUCAACAACGGAUCUCUUGGUUCUGGCAUCGAUGAAGAACGCAGCGAAAUGCGAUAAGUAAUGUGAAUUGCAGAAUUCAGUGAAUCAUCGAAUCUUUGAACGCACAUUGCGCCCCCUGGUAUUCCGGGGGGCAUGCCUGUUCGAGCGUCAUUUAUACCAAUCUAGCCCGGCUAGGUGUUGGGCUCCGCCGUUUGGCGGGCCUUAAAACCAGUGGCGGUGCUCUUAGGCUCUACGCGUAGUAAUUUUCUCGCUAUAGGGUCCUGGGAGAUGCUUGCCAGCAACCCCAAAUUUUUCUAGGUUGACCUCGGAUCAGGUAGGGAUACCCGCUGAACUUAAGCAUAUCAAUAAGCGGAGGA
rnacentral:rRNA from 1 species